rnacentral:rRNA from 1 species
GAUGAACGCUGGCGGCGUGCUUAACACAUGCAAGUCGAACGGAAAGGCUCCUGCUUGCAGGGGUACUCGAGUGGCGAACGGGUGAGUAACACGUGGGUGAUCUGCCCUGCACUUCGGGAUAAGCCUGGGAAACUGGGUCUAAUACCGGAUAGGACGAUGGUUUGGAUGCCAUUGUGGAAAGUUUUUCGGUGUGGGAUGAGCUCGCGGCCUAUCAGCUUGUUGGUGGGGUAAUGGCCUACCAAGGCGUCGACGGGUAGCCGGCCUGAGAGGGUGUACGGCCACAUUGGGACUGAGAUACGGCCCAGACUCCUACGGGAGGCAGCAGUGGGGAAUAUGGCACAAUGGGCGCAAGCCUGAUGCAGAGACGCCGCGUGGGGGAUGACGGCCUUCGGGUUGUAAACACCUUUCGCUAGGGACGAAGCGCAAGUGACGGUACCUGGAGAAGAAGCACCGGCUAACUACGUG